rnacentral:snRNA from 1 species
AUACUUACCUGGCAGGGGAGACACCAUGAUCACGAAGGUGGUUUUCCCAGGGCGAGGCUCACUCAUUGCACUCCAGGUGUGCUGACCCCUGCGAUUUCCCCAAAUGUGGGAACCUCGACUGCAUAAUUUGUGGUAGUGGGGGACUGCAUUCGUGCUAUCCCAUU